CCAGGGUUAUUGUGACCAAUGAAGUUUCUUCAACUACUGUUGAUGGGCUGCUGUGCACGGGUACGGAGUGCACAGGGAACCUAGUAGGCAAGAUCCCUGCCAUCGUGCAUCUUACUGUCAGGUUGACACAGACCUUAAGGACACACCUGUGAUGCUUGAGUAAAAUUUGUAGGAACCGACCUAGAAACUUGUCGUUGGCAGCCAGUAAUGUUAAGCCCAGAAAUGGAGUCUUGCUUUUUGGCCAGGCUGGUCUUGAGCUCCUGGACUCAAGUGGUCCUCCUGCCUCAACCUGCCAAAGUCCUGGAAUUACAGAUGAGAAAACAGAGACAAAGAAUCACCCAGGAUGGCACUACUGGGGUUUCAAAACGGGCAAUAUGACUCACGACUGGGUCUUUCAGGUAUGAAAAACUAAAGAGACUUCCAGUUGUGGACAAGAUGAAAUACACACUUCUCAUUCCUCCCAGGGAGGCCAUGUGAAGAGCCUGGAUUUUCACUUCCACUUGGUAGUAACAAGGCAGCAUCAACCUUCCCCCGACUGGUGCAGUAUCAGAGGAAACCUGCUAAAACCAAAGAUAUAAAUGAGAUCCAGAGUCUCAUAACAUAAUAACCAAAGUAUCCAGGAUUACAUUUUUUAAAUCAUUCUUUAUCUCAAGAACCAAGAAGAUCUUAACUAGAAUGAGAAAAAGACAGUCCACAGAUGGCAACACUGAAAUGGCCCAGACAUUUGAACUGUCUGACAAAGAUUUUAAAUUCUGAACAUGCUUGAAACAAAUGAAAAGUAGAAAGCUUUGGUGAAGAAAUAGAAUAUAUAAAGAAAAGCCAAAUAAAACCUUUAACUGAAAAGAUACAAUAAAAUAUUAAACUCACAGGAUGUGCUCAAUAAUAGACUAAAUAAGACAAAAGAAUAAAUCAGUAAAUUUGAAGUUAGAUCAAUAAAAUAUAACCAGCUUCAACAACGCGAAGAAAAUACACUGAAGAAAAAAAUCACAGAACCUCAGGAACCUGUGGAACCUUAACAAAAACCAAUCAUUUGUAUUAUCAGAGAGGAGUGAGAGUGUGGGAUUGAAAAAGUGUUCAACAAAGUUUUCCUAAAUUUGGCAUCAGGCAUAAACCUAUAGAUUUCACAGGGUAAUUGAGCCUUCAGCAGAAAACAACAACAACAAAGAAAUAUAACCAAGACACAUUAUAAUCAAACUCUGGACAACUAAAAACAGUGAAAAAGCUGAAAGCAAUAAGAGAGAAAUGAUGAUUUACCUGUAGGAAAAAAACAAUUCAAACAUCAGACUUCUCAUCCAAAACCAUGCAGGCCAAAAGGAAGUGUCACACGAUUUUUGAAGUGUUUAAAGAAAAGAACUGUGGGCUGGGGGCGGUGGCUCACUCCUGUAAUCCCAGCACUUUGGGAGGCCAAGGCAGGUGGAUCACGUGGGGUCAGGAAUUCAAGAUCAGUCUGGCAAACAUGGUGAAACCCUACCUCUACUAAAAAUACAAAAAUUAGCUUGGCGUGGUGGUGCGCGCCUAUAAUCCCAACUACUUGGGAGACUGGGGUAGGAGAAUAGCUUGAACCUGGGAGGCGGAGAUUGCAAUGAGCCAAGAUCACACCACUGCACUCCAGCCUGGGCAACAGAGUGAGAACCUGUCGAAAGAAAAAGAGAGGAAAGAAAGAAAGAGAAAGGAAGGAGGGAGGGAACCCUGAACCCAUAAUUUUACAUAUGGGCAAAAAUAGCCUUCAGGAAUGAAGGUGAAAUCAAAACAUUCCCUUUUUUUUUUUUGAGACGGAGUUUCGCGCUUGUUACCCAGGCUGGAGUGCAAGGGCGCGAUCUCGGCUCACGGCAACCUCCGCCUCCUGGGUUCAGGCAAUUCUCCUGCCUCAGCCUCCUGAGUAGCUGGGAUUACAGGCACGUGCCACCAUGCCCAGCUAAUUUUUGGUAUUUUUUUUAGUAGAGACGGGGUUUCACCAUGUUGACCAGGAUGGUCUCGAUCUCUUGACCUUGUGAUCCACCCGCCUCGGCCUCCCAAAGUGCAGGGAUUACAGGCUUGAGCCACCGCGCCUGGCCAAAACAUUCUCAUAUUAAGAAAAACUAAAAGAAUCUGUCACCAGCAGACCAAUCCUAAAAAAAUGUCUAAAGGAACUCUUUAAACAGAAACAAUUAGAGACAAUCAUGAAACAUCAGGAAGGAAAAAGGAACAACAGAAAGAGUAAAAAUGUAGAUAAGCACAACAGACUUCUCUUCUUGAGUUUUCUAAAUUAUGUUUGAUUGUUGAAGCAAAAAUUAUAACAUUGGCUAAUGCGAGUCUCAAAAUACGUAGAGGAAACAUUUUAGACAAUGUAUUGUCAAAGAAGGUGGGUAAAGGGAAUUAAAAGGAGGUCAGGGUUCUAUACUUCACUUAAAUCGGUAAAAUGUUGACACCAAAAAAUAAAAUAAAAGGCUGGACACAGAGGCUCAUGCCUGUAAUCCCAGCACUUUGGGAGGCCAAGGCAGGCAGAUCACCUGAGGUCAGGAGUUCAAGACCAGCCUGGCCAACAUGGUUAAACCCCGUCCCUACUAAAAAUAAAAAAAUUAGCCAGACUCGGUGACCAGCGCCUGUAAUACCAGCUACUUGGGAGGCUGAGGCAGGGAGAAUCGCUUGAACCUGGAAGAUGGAGGUUGCACUGAGCCGAGAUUGCGCCAUUGUACUCCAGCCUGAGUGACAGAGCAAGACACCAUCUCAAAAAAUAAAAUAAAAUGCAAAUCCAAAGAAUACAAAAAGAAGAAAGUGAUAAAUUAUGCCAAUUCCAUUUUUUUAAAUGUAAAGCAAAAAGCUUCUUUUGAAAUGGAGAUGUGAAAGAUUCCAUAUUACUAAAUUGCUUCAUAUGACAGUGAUAAAGCAUCUUCAUACUAUAGGCAGCUUAUGGCUCAGCCUGUUUUCAUGAUCAGCUUUAUGAGACUUUAAUGCACUCAGCUGACAGUAUGGGGAGGGCAUUCUCCCACCUUGACUUGAGAACCCACAUAGCUCUGGCAACCCGGGAGGUAGUAGGGAAUUUGAGAGAAAGGACUCUUCUUGGCCAUGAACUCUUCUUGGAGAACUCAGACAGUCAAGGAAACUGAUGAGAAGCAGGAGCAGAAGAGUGAGAGUAAUUUUGUCCCCAGCAUGUGAGACAAUACCUGGAGAACUGUGAGAAAAUACCGGGCGUAUAAGCAGAGAUUAGGUACUUCAGUGGAUAGGCAGAGACUCAAAGUCAUUGUAAUUAGAAUACUAAAGUAGCCCUUUUUUUUUUUUUUUUUUUUGAGACAGUCUUGCUCUGUCACCCAGGCUUGAGUACAGUGGUGCAGUCUCUGCUCACUACAGCCUCCACCUCCUGGGUUCAAGAGAUUCUCCUGCCUCAGCCUCCCACAUAGCUAGGAUUACAGGCACCUGCUACUAUACCUGGCUAAUUUUUAUAUUUUCAGUAGAGAUGGGGUUUCAUCGUGUUGGCCAGGCUGGUCUCAAGCUCCUGACCUCAAGUGAUCUGCCUACCUCAGCCUCCCAGAGUGCUGGGAUUACAGGCACACGCCACCAUGCCCAACUAAUUUUUUUUUAAAUUUUAUUUUUAGUAGAGACAUGUUGACCAGGAUGAUCUCGAUCUCUUGACCUCGUGAUCCACCCGCCUCAGCCUCCCAAAGUGCUGGGAUUACAGACGUGAGCCACCGCGCCCAGCCGCCUUCUGAUUUCUAUUUAAAUAACUUUGUGAUCUGGGGGUUUCCGUUUUGGAAUUAUACUCAAGAAAAAUUUCUGAACAUUUUGGGACUCUCCCAUUCACAGUGAGAACGAACACAUUUUAAAUUAAAAACAUUAUUUGCUUACCGGGGUUGUAAGUAAAAUAUAACUGGUAAAAUCAGAGGCUCCUUUUAUUAAAAGAAGUAAUGCAUGAUCAAAGCAAUUCUGGAGAAAAUAAUUUCAAUCUAGAUCUACCAAUCAUGGUAUAGGUGUGCCUCUGGCGUGCACAUGUCUUUUGCAUACCUUACAUGUGCACAUGAUUUAUGCUCACCCCACCCCUCCCAGGAACCUGUAGAGUCAAGGACUGUCUCAGUUAUCACUAAGACUUACAUAAAAAGGUGGGGGUGGGGGGAGGGGGAGGAGUGUAUAUGAGCUGUAAACGCCAAGACCCACUGUCUAAUUUAUCUGCCUCCUUCAUUUUUAAAAAUAACCAUUUAUAAUAUGUCUAUUUAAUGAAUAUAUCAAAAAGAAAAGAACCUGAACGAUUGCUUAGUCUACUUUCUUGCUUCAGGGACAGAUCUGUUUCUGAUUCAACUCACAAAUUAAUCCUUGGGCAAUAACAUUCCAAGCCCUCUUGGUAAUUUAUUGCAUUGGGGCCGAUCCCUACUACCCAACCCAGAACUUAGUUGGAUUGGAGAACAAGAUGGGGCAUAAAUGAACAAGAUGGGGCAUAAAUGAAUGGAAGUAUUAAUGAGCAAUAGAGGGAAAGAGAGCAAACAUAAAAGCAAAAGGGAAAAAAGGAGUGGUUUUUGAAAUGAAAACAGAAUUAUUCAAAAAGUUAUGUGAUUCAAUUUUUAGUUAAACACGGCAGAUGAACCAAAUCUAUUUAUUUUGCUGCAUUCUAAAAUUUCACCACAACAACUGUACUUGAAUUGUUUUCUUUUGUUUUGUUUGAGAUGAAGUCUUACUGUAUCCCUCAGGCUGGAGUGCAAUGGUGUGAUCUUGGCCCACUGCAACCUCUGCCUCCUGGGUUCAAGGGAUUCUCCUGCCUCAGCCUCCUGAGUAGCUGGGAUUACAGGUGUGCACCACCAUGCCUAACUAAUUUUUGUAUUUUUAGUAGACAUGAGGUUUUACUACGUUGGUCAGGCUGGUCUCAAACUCCUGACCUCAUGAUUUGCCUGCCUUGGCCUCCCAAAAUGCUGGGAUUACAGGCGUGAGCCAUCUUGCCCGGCCUAUACUUGAAUUUUUAAUGAAUUUAUUGAGGUACACUUGACAUUCAAACUACACACAUUUAAAGUGCACAGUUUUAUAAGUGUAUGCAUGUGUCUGUGUGUGUGUAUACAUAUAUAUACAUACAUGUACAUGUAUAUGUAUACACACACACACACACACACUCAUAUAUGUAUAUCCACCACCAGCAUUUAAAUCAAGAUAAUGAACUUACAUAUAAUCCCUAAAAGUUUCCUUGUGCCCCUUUGUAAUAUCUCCUUCAGAUGCUUCCCACCCCAUACCCUUUCCCAGGCACCCACUGAUCUGCUUUCUGGUCAUUAUGUAUUAGUUUCCAUCCUAGAAUUUCACAAAAAUGAAAUUGUACAGUUUGUAAUCUUUUAUGUCUGGCUUCUUUCAUUCAGCAUACUUAUUUUAGCAUUUUGUUGUAGAAGGUAUCAAUAGUCCAUUCUUUAUUGUGGAAUACUAUUUUUUGUAUGGACAUACCACACUGUUUAUCCCAUUACUUGAGGAAUAUUUGCAUUGUUUCCUGUUUGGGGCUAUUACAUAAACUUCCUAUGUAUAUUUGCGAACAAGUCUUUGUGUGGAUAUGUGCUUUUACUUCCCUUGGGUAACUACUUAGGAUUGAAAUGGCAGGAUUGUGUGAUAUGUAUAUGUUUAACUUUUAAGAAAUUCCCAAAUUGGUUUUCAAAGUGGUUAUUGUUGAGCAGUGUAGAAACAUCCUUGACAACAGUUGGUAUAGUCUUUUAAAUUUUACUUAUUUUAAUAAGUCUGCAAUGGUAUCUCAUUCUGAUUUUGGUUUAUAUUUUCCUAAUGACUAAUGAUGUUGAGCAUCUUUUCAUCCAUAUGUCUUCUUCAGUGAAAUAUAUAUUUAGAUAUUUUGCCCAUAUUUUAACUGGGUUGUUUAUAUUUCUAUUACUGGCAUUUGAGAGUUCUUGAUAUAAUUUAGAUACAGUUCAUCAUCAUAAUUUUGCUUUGAAAAUAUUUUCAGCCAGGCACAGUGGCUCACGCCUGUAAUCCCAGCACUUUGGGAGGCUGAGGUGGGCGGAUCGCCUGAGGUCAGGAGUUCAAGACCAGCCUGACCAAUAUGGUGAAACCCUAUCUUUAAAAAUAUACAUAUAUUUUGUAAUCCCAGCACUUUGGGAGGCCGAGGCGGGUGGAUUACAAGGUCAACAGAUCGAGACCAUCCUGGUCAACAUGGUGAAACCCCGUCUCUACUAAAAUUACAAAAAAUUAGCUGGGCACGGUGGCGCGUGCCUGUAAUCCCAGUUGCUUGGGAGGCUGAGCCAGGAGAAUUGCCUGAACCCAGGAGGCGGAGAUUGCGGUGAGCAGAGAUCGUGCCAUUGCACUCCAGCCUGGGUAACAAGAGUGAAACUCCGUCUCAAAAAAAAAAAAAAAUACAUAUAUAUAUACAUAUAUUUUUGGGCCGGGCACGGUGGCUCAUGCCUGUAAUCCCAGCACUUUGGGAGGCCGAGGCAGGUGGAUCACGAGGUCAAGAUAUCGAGACCAUCCUGGUCAACAUGGUGAAACCCCGUCGUCUCUACUAAAAAUACAAAAAAUUAGCUGGGCAUGGUGGCGCGUGCCUGUAAUCCCAGCUACUCAGGAGGCUGAGGCAGGAGAAUUGCCUGGACCCAGGAGGUGGAGGUUGCCGUGAGCCGAGAUUGCACCAUUGCACUCCAGCUUGGGUAACAAGAGUGUAACUCCGUCUCAGAAAAAAAAAAAAAAUUAUAUAUAUAUAUAUAAAAUUUUUUUUUCUCUGAGUCUGUGGCUUGGCUUUCUAUUCUCUUAACAAUGUCUUUUGAAGAGUAGACAUUUUAAAUGUUAUUGAAGUGCAAUUUAUCAAUUAUUUCUUUUCCUUCUCUUCUUCUUCUCCUUCUGCUUCCUUUUUUUUUUUUUUUUUUUUAAUGAAUUCUCACUCUGUUGCCCAAGCUGUAGUGCAGUGGUAUGAUCUCAACUCACUGCAACCUUGGCCUCUAGAUUUCAAGCAAUCCUCUUGCAUCAGCCUCCCAAGUAGUUGGGAUUAUGGGCAUGCGCCACCAUGCCCAGCUAAUUUUCGCAUUUUUAGUAUAGAUGGGGUUUCACUGUGUUGGCCAGGCUGGUCUUGAACUCCUGACCUCACAUGAUCUGCCUGCCUCAGCCUCCCAAAGUGCUAGGAUUACAGGCAUGAGUCACUGCACCCAGCCUUUAUCAAUUUAUUCUUUUAUAGAUUGUGCUUUUGACAUUAUGUUUAACAAAUCUUUGCCUAGUCAAAACUCACAAAAAUUUUCUCUUAUGUUUUCUCCUGGAAGUGUUAUAGUUUUGUAGUUUUACAUUUAAGUCCAUCAUCCAUUUUGAGUUAAUUUUUAUAUAGGGUAUAACCCAUUAAUUGAAGUUUUUAUUAUUUAUUUAUUUUUUAGAGACAGAAUCUGGCUUUGUCACCCAGGUUGAAGUACAGUGAUACAAUCCUAACUCAAUGCAGCCUCCAACUCCUGGGCUAAGUGAUCCUCCAACUUCAGCCUCCUGAGUAGUUAGAACUACCAGUUGGUACCACCACACUCAGGUUUUUUUCUUAGAGCUGGGAUCUUACUAUGUUACCCAGGGCUAGUCUCAAGUUCCCAGCCUCAAGCAAUCCUCCACCUCAGCCUCCUAAAGUACUGAGAUUCCAGAUGAAAGCCACUGUGCCUGGCCAAAAGCUGUUUUUUUAAAAAUGUUUUGUUUUGUUUUUGUUUUUUGCAUAUGGAUGCCCAAUUGUUCCCAUAGAGGCAUUUGUUGAAAAGAAUAUAAUUUCUCCACUGAAUUGCCUUUGCGUACUUUGGGGAAAUCAGUUAUUCAUAUACAUAUGCGUCUAUUUCUCUUCUUUCUAUCCUGUUCCAUUCUGUAUUUGUCUCUCUUCAUGCCAAUACCACCAUGUCCUGAUUUCCAUAGCUUUAUUACUUUUGAAAUUAAGUGGUGUUAGACCUUCAGCUUUGUUCUUCUUUCUCAAAGUUAUUUCAGCUGUUGUAGGACCUUUGCAUUUUCAUUUGAAUUUUACAAUCAGCUUGUCAAAUUCUAUGUAAAAUCCUGCUGGGUCUUUUUUUGGAAUGGCACUGAAUCCAGAGAUCAAUGUGGGGAGUGAUAUGAGUUGGCUGUGUCCCCACCCAAAUCUUAUCUUGAACUGUAUAGCUCCUGUAAUCCCUACAUGUCAUGGGAGGGACCUGGUGGGAGAUAAUCAAAUCAUGGGGAUGGGUUUUUUUCAUGCUGUUCUCAUGAUAGUGAAUAAAUCUCAUGAGAUAUAAUUGUUUUAUAAAGGGAAGUUCCCCUACACAUGCGCUCUUGCCUGUCACCAUGGAAGAUGUGCCUUUGCCCCUCCUUUGCCUUCCGCUAUGGUUUUGUGGCCUCCUCAGCCAUGUAAAAUUCUGAAUCCAUUAAACCUCUUUUUCUUUAUAAAUGACCCAGUCUCAGAUAUUUCUUCAUAGCAAUAUGAAAAUAUACUAAUACAUUAAAUUGGUACCAGGAGUGGGGUGCUGCUAUAAGGAUACCGGAAAAUGUGAAGGUGACCUUGGAACUGGGUAACAGGCAGAGGUUGGAAGAGUUUGGAGGGCUCAGAAGAAGGCAAGAAAAUGUCGGAAAUAUGGAACUUCCUGGAGAUUUGUUGAAUGGCUCUGACCAAAAUACUGAUAGUGACAUGGACAAUACAUUCCAGGCAGAGGUGGUUUCAGGUAGAAAUGAAUAACUUGUUUGUACCUCAUUUUUUCAGGUAGAAAUGAGGAACUUUGCUUGACUCUUGUUAAGCAAAGAGACUGGCAGCAUUUUGCCCUUGCCCUAGAGAUCUGUCUAACUUUAAAUUUGAGAGAGAUGAUUUAGGGUAUCUGGCAGAAGAAAUCUCUAAGCAACAAAGUGUUCAAGAGGAAGAGCAUAAAAGUUUGGAAAAUUUGCAGCCUGGUUAUGCAAUGUAAAAGAAAACCCCAUUUUCUGUGGAGAAAUUCAAGCCUGCUGCAGAAAUUUGCCUAAGUAAAGAGGAUCAAAAUAUUAAUCACCAGGACAAUGGGGAAAAUGUCUCCAGGGCAUGUCAGAGACCUUCAUGACAGCCCUUCCCAUAACACGCCUGGAAAUCUAGGAGGCAAAAAUGAUUUCGUGGGCUGGGCCCAGGGCUCCCCUUCUCUAUGAAGCACCUCUGCUCUAUGCAACAUGAUGCUGUGCAUCCCAGGUGCUUCAGCUCCAGCUGUGGCUAAAAAGAGUGAAUGUACAGCUCAGGCUGUUGCUUCAAAGGGUGCAAAUUCCAAGCCUUUGUGGCUUACAUGUGGUAUUGGGCCUGCAGGUGCACAGAUCAAGAUUUAAGAUUUGGGAACCUCCUAGAUUUCAGAGGAUGUACGGAUAGGCCCGGAUGUCUAGGCAGAGAUGUGCUGCAGGGGUGGAGCCCUUAUGGAGAACCUCUGCUAGGGUAGUGCAGAAGGGAAAUGCGGGGUGGGAACCCCCACAUAGAGUCUCCACUAGGGCACUGCCUAGUGUAGCUGUAAGAAGAAGGCCACCAUCCUACAGUCCCCAGAAUGGUAGAUCCACCAACAACUUGCACAGUGCACCUGGAAAAGCCACAGACACAUAACACCAGCCCAUGAAAGCAGCUGGGAGGGGAGCUGUAUCCUGCUAAACCACAGAAGUGGAGCUUCCCAAAGCUAUGGGAGCCCAGCUCUUGCAUCAGCGUGACCUGAAUGUGAAACAUGGAGUCAAAGGAAAUCAUUUAAGAACUUUAAGGUUUAAUGACUGCCCUGUUGGAUUUCAAACUUGCAUGGGGCCUGUGGCCCCUUUGCAAUAGAAAGGUUGGAUAUUACAACAGACAAUGUCACCUAGAAAACAGACCAAAAUAAAAGAUAUGGAACAUAGAAGAAAAAAUAAGAAACUUAUUGCAUCUAGUCCAGGAAGUUCAACAUCCAGCAAAUAAGAGUUGUGGAAAGAGAAAACAGAGCAAAUAGAGGAGAUAAUUUUUUCAAAGAGUACAGACAAAAUUUCUCCAAAUUAAAGACAUGGAUUUCCAGACUGCAAGAGUUAAUGAGUGCCUGGAAAAAUAUAUUACAAUGAAAUCUAUCGAGAUACAUCAUCCUGAAAGUUUACUACAAUUGAAAUAAAGCAUUCUAAAACUUCUCAACAAAAGCAUUGAAAUCCAGAAGACCUUGAGCAAUGUCUUCUAAAAUGUAAGUUAAAUUUAUUUUCAACAUAGAAUUCUAUAGCCAAACCACUCAAGAAUAAAUAUAGAAUAAAUAUAUUUAAGACCAGUUAGAAAUACUAGGUCUUAAAUAAUUUAUCUUCCAGUGGAAGGUUUGCCUCACAAAAUACAGGUAUAAACCAAGAAGGAGAAAACUAGGUUUCAACACCCAAGAAAUAGGAAAAGGGAAUUCCUUGAAUUUUAGUAAAAUGAUGUCAAGAGAACUGUGUAGCCCACCUAGAAAGCAAUCAGCCUAGGCUAGGACAGAACAAAGGGCUCCAGGAAAAAUAUCAAACAAUUGCGUUGAUAAACUUCUAUGUGUUUAUAGCCAUUGGGAAAAGUUUUAUGGUUCUUACAAAUAUUUUGAGAAUGAAUUAAUGCUAAGUAUAUGAAAUAUUAAACAAAAAAUCAAGGCAAUUUUAUGUUCAAAGGUUGCACGAACAAAAAGUUGGACAGAAACGAGAUACAAUCACAAUUUUCUCUGUGGCUCAGUAAUAAUAGUUACAUAGUUCAUAAUAAAAUAACCAUGGAUAUUAAGCGAACCACAAAUUGUUACUUAAAUAUAUUGGAAAAAUGGGAUGAGAGGAAGUGAAGGUGAGGAAAGGAAGAUGGGCAUGUAGGAAAAAUAGAUUCUCAAUUUCCAUUUGGAAAAGAUAAUAGCUAAUGCUUAAUUUUGAAAAAAGUUUUAAAAUGGCCACAUACACUGGUAUUUAGAAAUAUGGUAGUAAAUACAAAAAAAAAUACAGCUAAAAAUGCUUAAACAGGGUACUUCUGGGGAAUGGAAAGGAAAAAUGGGGAAAGAUAUAGAUAGUGGAUUGCUAUUUUUCACUAUCAGGUUUAUGGAACUAUUUGACCUUUAAAAAUUAUUCAUAGAGAGCAGAUCACCUGACGUCAGGAGUUUGAGACCAACCUAGCCAACUUGGUGAAGCACUUAGGGAGCUUCUCUACUAAAAAUACAAAAUUAGCCAGGUGUGGUGGCACAUGCCUGUAAUCCCAGCUACUUGGGAGUCUGAGGCAGGAGAAUUGCUUGAACCUGGGAAAGGGAGGUUGCAGUGAGCUGAGAUUGUGCCAUUACAUUCCAGACUGAGCAAUAAGAGCAAAACUCUGUCUCAAAAAAACCCAAAAAUUAUUCUUAUGUAUAAUUAAAAUAUUUUGUUGAAAUAUACAUACCUAAAUGUUCACAUUUGCAUGUAAAAUUUUGAUUUAAAAAUACGUUGAAAUAAGUCAAAGGAACCAUAAGAGGCUUUGGCCUUGGGCAUAAUUUACUGUUGAUGGAAACGAUGAGCCACUAGAAGUGUUUCUGAAGGUUUGAUUUCAGGAGCAUUGGUCUGUGGUUCUCAAGCACUUUGGAGUCUUCUGAAGAAAAAGCAAUAAACAAUAUUACUCAUUCUUUUGAAAUAAACGAUUUAACUGUGACUUUCUCAGAAAGCUGGUUGCAUUCUUAAAAAUUUUACAGUCUUUGGGCCGGGCGCGGUGGCUCAAGCCUGUAAUCCCAGCACUUUGGGAGGCCGAGGCGGGUGGAUCACAAGGUCAAGAGAUCGAGACCAUCCUGGUCAACAUGGUGAAACCCCGUCUCUACUAAAAAUACAAAAAAUUAGCUGGGCAUGGUGGCACACGCCUGUAAUCCCAGCCACUCAGGAGGCUGAGGCAGGAGAAUUGCCUGAACCCAGGAGGCGGAGGUUGCAGUGAGCCAAGAUCAUGCCAUUGCACUCCAGCAUGGGUAACAAGAGCAAAACUCUGUCUCAAAAAAAACAAAAAAAAUUUACAGUCUUUUUUUACUACAGUGUUCUUAAGGUACAUCAGCAAUUUCAGUCAAUAACGAAGGAUUUGAACUGCUCAUUUUGACUAAAGUUCAGUUGACCAGAUAUAGAUUAUUUUUGCCUUUAUAGUUAUUUCUAUGUGAUUGUUUACUUUUGUCAAAUUUAACAACAUGGCUCUUAGAAGCCAAAAGUUAGUAAUGAAGAUAGUAACCAAAAUAAUAACUACUGCUAAGAAUCAUUUAGCUGUUCUAGGUAUUUGUCGACAUCACUUGUUUGGGCUAAGCCUAAUUUCAAGCUUUUCAAAAUGAACAAUAAGUGGAAAUUUCAGAACUCCGAGGAACCAGUAAUUAGUUAAGUAGUCUGCUGCUCCUUUUUCUCCAUGGCAGUGCCCCCUAACUUUGCCUGCACACCAGAAUCACUUGGGGAGCUUCUAAAAUUCCAGUCCCCAGGCCACACCACAGAACAGAUGGAGUUGCUCUCUUGUAGCCCAGGCUGGAGUGCAAUGGUGUGAACUUGAUUACUGAAAUCCCCAUCUCCCAGGUUCAAGCGAUUCUCCUGCCUCAGUCUCCCAAGUAGCUGGGAUUACAGGCACCCACCACCACGCCCAGACAGGGUCUCACUUUGUUGCCGAGGAUGGUCUAUGAACUCCUGGCCUCAAGCUAACCUCCUACCUCAGCCUCCCAAAGUGCUGGAAUUAACAAGUGUGAGCCAGUGGGCAUGGCCAGCUGUGCGAUUUUUUGAUUAGCUGAACAGAUUUCAGUUGUCUGGAAACCGCAACAUUUUUAUUGCUGCCACAGAUAGAAAUGAACAACUGGAAUGUCUUUCACUUCACCUCUCCAGAAUGCCAAUGCAAAAGGACUGACCUACGUCAACAGUAGACUAUGGUGGAAAAGAUGGUGUGUAACUUCUGAGAUUGGGUAAUAAAAGAUAUUGUGACUUCCUCCUUGUUAUUCUUGGAUUAAUCACUUUGGAGGAAGUUACCUAACAUGUCAGGAAGACAAUCAUGAUAGUCCUAUGGAGAGACCCUUGAGGAAAGGAAGUGAGGCCUCCUGCCAGCAACUGUGGGAAUGAGCCACCUUCCCAUGGCUGACGUCUUGAUUGUAACCUCAUGAAAGAACCUGAGCCAAAACCAUCCAGAGUCAAAAAAGGAGCCAGGUGGAGGACGACUCAAGAUGGCGCUGUGAGAACAACCCAGGAUUGAGGCUCUCGCUGGAUGCACGGAGAAGGGACAUGGAUGAAUCUGGAGAACAUCAUCCUCAGCAAACUGACACAAGAACAGAAAACAAAACACCGCAUAUUCUCACUCAUAGGAAAACGUCACUGGCAGCAUCAAAGCAUGAAAUUUUCCUGUCAUUCAUUGCACAUAAAAAUGUUCUGUUUCUCCUGGCUUUUAUGGAAACAUGACAUUGACUAUCAUGAAAAAGUGGCUGGAGUGCAAUGGCGCAAACUCGGCUCACCGCAACCUCCGCCUCCUGGGUUCAAGCAAUUCUCCUCCGUCAGCCUCCUGAAUAUCUAGGAUUACAGGCACGCACCACCAUGCCCAGCUAAUUUUGUGUAUUUUUAGUAGAGACGGCGUUUCACCAUGUUGACCAGGAUGGUCUUGAUCUCUUGACCUCGUGAUCCACCCACCUCGGCCUCCCAAAGUGCUGGGAUUACAGGCUUGAGCCACCACACCUGGCCUUAUAUAUUAUAUUUCUAUUGGGUAGCACUGAAAUAGACUGUAACUGCUUUAUCUCCUUUUUUCUUUUUAAAUCUCUUGUUCUUAAUCUCCCCCAUCCCCACCCUUUUUGGGUAUAACAUACAUACAUCAUGUACUUAUCUGAAGCACACACUUGUGUGUGCUUUUUUACCAAUGCAUACAUUCUUGUCAUCAACACCCAGAUCAAGAUACAGAACAUUUCCAUCACUACAGAAAGCUGCCUCAGGCCCUUUUCUAGUCAAUGUCCACUGACUCCCUUCUUUUGUGAUACCCACUAUUUAAUUGCCAUCACCAUCAGUAAGUUUUUCCUGCAUUAGAAGUUCAUGUAAAUGGAAUCACACAAUAUGUACUCUUUUGUGUCUGGCUUCAUGUGCUCACUGUGAUUGUUUUAAAGCUUUAUCUUCAUUGUUGAAUAUAUCAGUAGUUUGGUUUUUACUGCUUUGCAGAAUUCCAUUGUAUGGCAUACCACAUUUACCUAUUUUCCAGUUGACGGAUAUAUGGGUUGUUUCCAGUUUGGGCUAUUAUGAAUAAAGCUGUGAACAUUCAUAUAUAUGUAUAUCCCUCCUAAGCUUUAAAGAAAGAUUGUGAUAAAUCUUCAGCAAGACACUCCCAUCUAUUCACCCCACUCCAGUAUUUAACACAAUGCCCUUCUUGAAGGAUAUUUGUUGAAGCAUGAUUUCAAACAGCUGUGUGGUGAUUUAUUUGUCUCCUAGCCUUCGUAUGGAAAAUAAAGUUCAGUGGUAGAACAAAGUCUACUCAAAGUUUCCACUAUUAUCACAAAUAAUGAACCAAUAAGUCAGGAAGGCAGUCUGCUGUAUUUAAAUGAUCUAUUUCAGUCUUGUUGCUGGUUAAAAAUAGACUUCUGCUCCCAGAUAAAUUUUAGUGACUGAUCAUAAAAGAAUGUAAUAUUUCCUAUGCCAUUUUCUUUUUAAAAAUUCCUCCCCAUUCUCUCCAUCUCCUUUCCUUUUUCUUUUUAACAGCAAUUCAGAUAAAGGCAAGUUCUAAAUAAAAAUAUAAAUAAAUAUUCAAAGAAAUACAAUGUGUUUUGUAAGGAGCGUUAUUAUUGUGGUAGUUAAAACUUUCUUCUUCCAAAUCUCUUUUCUUUAAGUUUAUCUAUUUGAAAGACCACAGAAGCCAGACAUCUUGGGUUUGAGUCAUGGAUCCGAAAUCAUGAAUGAGGCUGGGAGCUUAAUCUCUGAGCCUCAGCGUUUCCCUGCUAAAUUGGGAAUAUAAUAUCUUCCAUACGGGGUUGCUUAGAGGAUUAAAAGCCCUAACAUAUGAUUAGGCAUGAGCCUUUGUGAAGCCCAGUCCUUAUUGAAGCCAUACCUUCUUCCUGCAUGAUUACUCUUUGCUCUUCUCUUUGUCUCUCUGAAAAUUUGGGCAUCAUCAGGCAUCGGUUUAUGCCAAAGUUCCCAAAUUGUGUGGCUAGCACCCUGGGGUGCCGAAACAAACUCACCAGGAGCACUCCAGGAUAUUUUAAAUUCUGAAGGGAAAUGGUAACCAUUGGUAUUUGUCAGACAUGUAAUGACUCCAAGUAGUGCACAGUUUCAACAUCAGAUUGUGGCACAUUAUUUUUCAUUAAUAUUAUAUCUUUGCAUUAUAGUACAUUUUUUUUCACCGAUUUCAUAUCUUUGCAAGACUGUGUUUUCUGUGGUUGUGUUGAUUAAAAAAAAAAAGGACUGUCUGAUUAUCAAUGUGCAACAGAAUGAGAAAGUCUCAUUUCAAGUUUAGAGAAAUUGGGCAGUAACCAACAGGCACAGACAUCUAAUUUAUAAGUGUGGUUGUUCAAGAAUGAAAUUAAAAAUAAAUUUUUUGA